GAUGAACGCUGGCGGCGUGCCUAAUACAUGCAAGUCGAGCGAAUGGAUUAAGAGCUUGCUCUUAUGAAGUUAGCGGCGGACGGGUGAGUAACACGUGGGUAACCUGCCCAUAAGACUGGGAUAACUCCGGGAAACUGGGGCUAAUACCGGAUAACAUUUUGAACCGCAUGGUUCGAAAUUGAAAGGCGGCUUCGGCUGUCACUUAUGGAUGGACCCGCGUCGCAUUAGCUAGUUGGUGAGGUAGCGGCUCACCAAGGCAACGAUGCGUAGCCGACCUGAGAGGGUGAUCGGCCACACUGGGACGGAGACACGGCCCAGACUCCUACGGGAGGCAGCAGUAGGGAAUCUUCCGCAAUGGACGAAAGUCUGACGGAGCAACGCCGCGUGAGUGAUGAAGGCUUUCGGGUCGUAAAACUCUGUUGUUAGGGAAGAACAAGUGCUAGUUGAAUAAGCUGGCACCUUGACGGUACCUAACCAGAAAGCCACGGCUAACUACGUGCCAGCAGCCGCCGUAA
rnacentral:rRNA from 1 species